rnacentral:rRNA from 1 species
UACAGAGGUCUCAAGCGUUGUUCGGAUUCAUUGGGCGUAAAAGGAUGCGUAGGCGGAUAUUUAAGUGAGAUGUGAAAUACCCGAGCUUAACUUGGGUGCUGCAUUUUCAAACUGGAUAUCUAGAGUGUGGGAGAGGAGAAUGGAAUUCCUAGUGUAGCGGUGAAAAUGCGUAGAGAUUAGGAAAGAACACCAGUGGCGAAAGGCGA